rnacentral:rRNA from 1 species
UGGCUCAGGAUGAACGCUAGCGGCGCGCUUAAUGCAUGCAAGUCGAGCGAUGAGGUCCUGCUUGCAGGACACAUCAGCGGCAGACGGGUGAGUAACACGUAAGUGACCUACCCCGAAGACGAGGAUAACGGGUGGAAACAUCCGCUAAUACUGGAUAGACUCUGGGGGUCGCACCGCAGAGUAAAGCUUCGGCGCUUCGGGAGGGGCUUGCGGCCUAUCAGCUAGUUGGUAGGGUAACGGCCUACCAAGGCAAAGACGGGUAGGGGGUGUGAGAGCACGACCCCCCACAAUGGCACUGAGACACGGGCCAUACUCCUACGGGAGGCAGCAGCAGGGAAUAUUGCACAAUGGACGGAAGUCUGAUGCAGCGACGCCGCGUGGAUGAUGAAGGCCCUCGGGUCGUAAAAUCCUUUUCAGGGGGACGAGGCAGGACGGUACCCUUGGAAUAAGCGUCGGCUAACUACGUGCCAGCAGCCGCGGUAAGACGUAGGACGCAAGCGUUAUCCGGAUUUACUGGGCGUAAAGCGUCUGUAGGCGGAUGGGUAAGUUGGGCGUGAAAGCUCCGUGCUCAACGCGGAGAGGUCGUUCAAUACUGCCGAUCUGGAGGUCAUCAGAGGGGCGUGGAAUUUCCGGUGUAGCGGUAAAAUGCGCAGAUAUCGGAAGGAACACCAGUGGCGAAAGCGGCGCCCUGGGGUGGACCUGACGCUGAGAGACGAAAGCUAGGGGAGCGAACAGGAUUAGAGACCCUGGUAGUCCUAGCUAUAAACGAUGGAUGCUAGGUGUGGGGUCGAGAAGACUCCGUGCCGGAGCCAACGCGA